GACGAACGCUGGCGGCGUGCCUAAUACAUGCAAGUAGACCUGAGUUGCGAACGGGUGAGUAACGCGUAGGCACCUGCCUCAUAGCGGGGGAUAACUAUUGGAAACGAUAGCUAAUACCGCAUACUGUGAGAUGGACCUGCGUUGUAUUAGCUAGUUGGUGAGGUAAAGGCCUACCAAGGCGACGAUCCGUAACUGUUCUGAGAGGAUGAUCAGUCACACUGGACCUUAGACACGGUCCAGAGUCCUGCGGGAGGCAGCAUUGGGGAAUAUUGGACAAGGGGCGAAAGCCUGAUCCAGCGAUGCCGCGUGUGUGAAGAAGGUCUUCGGAUUGUAAAGCACUUUAAGUUGGGAGGCGUUACCAACAGAAUAAGCACCGGCUAACUUCGUGCCAGCAGCCGCGGUAAUAC
rnacentral:rRNA from 1 species